GACGAACGCUGGCGGCGUGCCUAAUACAUGCAAGUCGAGCGAAUGGAUUAAGAGCUUGCUCUUAUGAAGUUAGCGGCGGACGGGUGAGUAACACGUGGGUAACCUGCCCAUAAGACUGGGAUAACUCCGGGAAACCGGGGCUAAUACCGGAUAACAUUUUGAACCGCAUGGUUCGAAAUUGAAAGGCGGCUUCGGCUGUCACUUAAGGAUGGACCCGCGUCGCAUUAGCUAGUUGGUGAGGUAACGGCUCACCAAGGCCACGAUGCGUAGCCGGCCUGAGAGUGUGAUGGGCCACACUGGGGCUGAGAGAACGCCGAGAAUCCUACGGGAGGCAGCAGUAGGGAAUCUUCCGCAAUGGAGGAAAGUCUGACGGAGCAAUGGCGCGUGAGUGAUGAAGGCUUUCGGGUCGUAAAACUCUGUUGUUAGGGAAGAACAAGUGCUAGUUGAAUAAGCUGGCACCUUGACGGUACCUAACCAGAAAGCCACGGCUAACUACGUGCCAGCAGCCGCAGUAA
rnacentral:rRNA from 1 species